rnacentral:lncRNA from 1 species
CUGUGUUUCCAUCAGUAGUAUCAGGAAUGGCAUCAGAGAUGUCCAGAUUGAUCUCCACAGGAGUUUGAAUUCCAGAAGGUGCUUCGGUUGUUACAUCAACAUCAGCAAUGUUGGCCAUGCUUGCAGGUUGUGUGUUCUCAGUUGCAUUUUCUGGUCCUAGAUCAUGGAAUUGCUGACCUUCUUUUGUUUGCCCAAUAGCGUCCUGCGUGUCUUCCUGCGCUGUGUUAUUUGUAGCACCUAAGUUAUGUUGAUCUUCUGGAACUGCGUCCUCAAGAGCAACACUGCUUUGUUGCACUGGUGCUUCAGUAUCAACUGCUUCAGCAACUUCAUUUUCUGCUACAGUAGCUUCUCUUUCUUCUAAUGAUUCCUGGUUCUGUGCUUGAAUAUUUACAGGUGGAUCCCUUGUUGCUGUGUCAUACUCUGGUACUGUCUCCUCAGAUGUUAGCAUGUUGCUCUGGUUGGCUGUUUCUUCAAUCUUUUCAUUCGCUGGGCCACUGGUUUCUUCAGCAUAUUCUUGAUUGAGCACUUCAAGGGUAUCAGUUGCUGGCUCAUCGGCUUUAGAUUUAGGCACCUCUUCUUGCACCACGUCUGCAUCCAUUGCAUCAGCUUGCUGGUUGUGCUGAUCUUCUACAUUGGCCACCUCUUCUAAAGGUUCUGUGGUAGAUGUAUCUUCUAGAAAACUCUCUUUGUUUUCAGGAUGGAUAACACCUUCUGCUUUAACUAGUUCAUCUGUUCCUGUGUUUCCAUCAGUAGUAUCUGCAAUGGCAUCAGAGAUGUCCAGAUUGAUCUCCACAGGAGUUUGAAAUCCAGAAGGUGCUUCGGUUAUAACCUCAACCUCAGGAAUGUUUGCCGUGCUUGCAGGUUGUGUGUUCUCUAUUGCAUUUUCUGGUCCUAGAUCUUGGUAUCGCUGACCUUCUUUUGUUUGCCCAGUAGCUUCC